GUACGUCAACGAAAGGAAACGACAAGCAGAGACACUGCAAAAGACCUUCCAGAUCCAAGACCAAAUC
rnacentral:ribozyme from 1 species